rnacentral:misc_RNA from 1 species
UAGAGUCCUGGCUAGUGGCAGAUAUUAUUACUGCCUCAACCACUGCUACACAUGGUUCUGCUAGCAAUGGGUGGUAGAUGGAAUACUUAUGGAUUCAAGUUAUCAUAUCUUGCACUUCUGAUCAUUCUUUAUGACGUUCACGGAUGUAGCUCACUCAAUUCUGAAGGAUUGGCAUUGUUGGGACUACGAUCAAAAGUUGAUUGUGAUCCAUACGGAGUUCUUGCAAACUGGAAUCCUGAUCAUUGUGACCCAUGUAUGUGGUUUGGAGUACAGUGUCUGGAGGGCAAAGUGCAAAUGUUGGAUCUUCAUGGACUUUCUUUGGAAGGCACAUUGGCACCAGAGCUUGGGAAUCUCACUCACCUAAAAUCAAUUGUGCUGUCAGAAAACAAUUUUUUUGGUGCCAUUCCAAAAGAAUUUGGACGACUUCAAAGGUUGGAAG